GACGUAGGGUCCAAGCGUUGUCCGGAUUUACUGGGCGUAAAGAGCGCGUAGGCGGUCUGUUAAGUGUGAAGUGAAAUCUCCAGAGCUCAACUCGGAAACUGCUUCGCAUACUGGCAGACUUGAGGAAUGCAGAGGUGAAUAGAAUCCCUGGUGUAGCGGUGAAAUGCGUAGAUAUCAGGAGGAAUACCCAUGGCGAAGGCAGUUCACUGGGCAUUAUCUGACGCUGAGGCGCGAAAGCGUGGGUAGCAAACAGGAUUAGAUACCCUGGUAGUCCACGCCCUAAACGAUGGAUGCUAGGCGUAAGAGGUAUCGACCCCUCUUGUGCCGCAGCUAACGCAUUAAGCAUCCCGCCUGGGGAGUACGGCCGCAAGGUUGAAACUCAAAUGAAUUGACGGGGACCCGCACAAGCGGUGGAGCAUGUGGAUUAAUUCGAUACUAACCGAAGAACCUUACCCAGGUUUGACAUCGAUUGUAACACCCAGAGAUGGGUGCCUCUCCCACAAGGAGACAUGAAGACACUUGUUGCAUGGCUGUCGUCAGCUCGUGCCGUGAGGUGUACGGUUAAGUCCGCCAACGAGCGCAACCCUCGUCCUAUGUUGCCAGCGAGUAAAGUCGGGAACUCAUAGGAGACCGCCGGUGUAAGCCGGAGGAAGGUGAGGAUGAUGUCAAGUCAGCAUGGCAGUUACGCCUGGGGCUUCACACAUGCUACAAUGGGCGCAACAAAGGGCAGCAAAACCGCGAGGUAGAGCCAAUCCCAAAAAUACGCCCCCAGUUCAGAUUGCAGUCUGCAACUCGACUGCAUGAAGGCGGAAUCGCUAGUAAACGCAGGUCAGCUAUACUGCGUUGAAUACGUUCCCGGGUCU
rnacentral:rRNA from 1 species